CUCCGAAGCAGGGGCAAGCUCCUGGGGUCUGCGGAGUAGCCACCCUGACAUGAGGAGGGCCUGGCCCAGGCCUCGGAGCUGACUGCAGUGGAGGAAACGUUCCCUGGUGACUUUCGAGAAGCAACACAGAGUCGGGAUGUCUUCGAGUCCAUUCGGCACAUCUGAGACCUAGCGUCCCAGGAUGUCUGGGCACAUGAAAGUCUGCAGGUCCCCAACCCCGUUUGCUCUGCCUGCCUCCCCAGGUGGUGCCUGGUUCAGCCUGGGGCCGAGAUGUCUAAACCUGCCCUUCCCACCUCGAGGAGGGUGGAAAUCCGAUUCCCCGCCUUGCAUUCAGAGAGGCAGUGUUCUGUCUCAGUCUAAGAGAAGGCCGAGUGGUGGUGGUGGGCACGGCAGGGAAGUGGCGACCCUUGGCCACCUCACCCAGCACCACCUCGGGGCAGGUCACCUGGCCCCACAGAGGUGAAUCUGGUUCCCCCAGGGGCUCCUCCUUCCUCAGGAUCCAUGAAUUUGAUGGGGCACGUAUGAAACAGCAGAAAAACCAUUACCUUUGCAUGCAGAUUAAUGUAAGUUUCCUAUUAGGUUUGUCAGGCAGACAGAAAAGGAAGAUCCUAGGGGAUUUUUCUUUCCUGAGAAACCAAAGGAAAGCAAAAACAGAUCUAUCUGUACGUGUGUCUGUGUGUGCGCGUGCGCGCGCGUGUCUGUGUGUGUGUGUGUGUGUGUGUGUGUGUGUGUGUGUGUGUGGCAGGGGAAUACCCAGCAACAGAGGCCUAAAGCAAGAACAGUAUUUGCAAACAGGUUAGCUGCUCAGAUUCUCCUGUGAUCUUGUGUUUCUGGGGCUGGUUAUUCUCCCUCAUUAAGAAGCCCAACUGAAUUCUUGCCUCACCCGCAUGGUAAAAAAUAAUGACAUGCAGACAUGAAGCCUGCACUAAAAAUCAGCAUACAGAGAGAUUCCACCUUUGCCUUUGGUCAUCCCAGCACGUCACGGCCAUAGAUGGAAAGCAUUUAAAAUACUCCUCCUCGCAGACAAGAUACGUGAGACUCGUCACUAGCCCCGCUGCUGAGAGAAGCCUUUGCGUGUUAGUGAAAGUCAAGGAUCAGAAAUUCAGAUAAGGCUCUAACGUGGAUUUCAUGGAGUCAGGGGCCUGACUGUUGACCAAGUGAGGGAUUCCAGGAUGAUCAUGUAACAAAACAGUCUAACUUCAGAGCUGGUUUUACGAGUGCCACCAGACCUCCCACUGCAAGAUGGAGAGAAGAGCUCCGCCAUCUUUCUCUCCCCCUCAGCCCACUGGUUCCAGGGACAGAACAUGCAGCAAAGACCCUCCUGUUUGACUUGGCCCAGUGGUGCCGACACCGGUGACCGUACCUGUGGGCGGAUCUCACCCGGGCCCAGCCUCGCCGGUGGGCAGCCCUGCUGACUGAAGACCAGCAAACGAGGCUCAGAGCUCGGGGAAGGACUGACCUCGAUGGCUUGGUGCUCUGGACCCAGGGAGCACUCGAUGAGUGUUAUUGACUGGCUGACUCAGGCCCUGUCUGCCCACAAGAGCCAUUUUGAGCAGCUUUGACUGAAAGACAGAGGGAGGCCGUUCAAGGCAAAUAAGCAGUCUGGUUGAUUCUGUCCUUCCUCCCCACCCCUGCUCCCGAGGCUGCCUACAGGCUGGGGGUUCUCUCCUUGGGGAAGGAGGCCAAGAGGUGGCAGAGCGGCCCCGCUCCUCUGACAAAUGUUGCCAGUGCUCUCUCCACCAUUGGAGCUCAUCAGACGGAUCCUGAUUCUCCGAAGCGAGCUGGCUCUCAGCUCGCCAUGGCCGCCUUCCACCACACCGGCCACCUUCACUUGGCAACGAUGAGUGGACACCUAGCUGCUCCUUGCCAGGCGGAGAGGAAGACACACAACCCGACUCUCUGCGUCCCUUCUCUGUCAUUCUGGGAAAUGACAGGGGAGGAAGGUGAUUCUUAAAAUUAAAAAAAAAGAAGAAGAAGAAGUCUGUGAUCACCCAAGAACUUCACUUCUUUAGCCCAUAUACAGAGAGCUGAAUAAAGUAUAGACUUCAUUAAUAACGUAAAUUGGACUCAAAACAAGUCAGGGUAUGUUCCCUGGGUAGGACCUUCUCAAUCCUGAAACCCUACUUUUUAGGACUUAAUAUUCAAAGGGAAAAGAAAAGAAAAUGCACACGUGUGUUUGCUUGUGAACCCUUUACGAGACUCCGAUACAAACUGAUGAUAGGCGUUGGCUCUCAGGAGGGGAAUGGGUGUCUGAGGCAGAGGAGUGGGAGGGAGA